CCCGCCCCAGGGCUUCCUCCUGGUUCUGGAACCUGCGUGCGUGUGAGCUUGAGCCGUCCCUCAGAGGCUACCUGGGGUCGUCUCCAGGCGGGUGAGUGAGACAUCACCUAGCCUCAAAGAGCCCUGCCCAGCACUGAGCUGAUUGACAGCGUGGCUUGACUCGGAGGCCUCGUGACCCGGAAUCACUUUUCGUGCCUACCUUGCGGCUUCGGCUUUACCUUCCAGAGGGCAACUCAGAUCUGAGGAGGCCAAGAAAACCCUCGGAGAAUGGCUCUGGGACAAUCAUGUUGCUGUCCCACAGUGAAGGCAUCUGGCUCUACUUCCUGAGGGGAGUCAGGCCCUGGAAGUUCAAAAAAACACAAAUAUACUCAGAGCUCCACCUUGCUUUUAGCUA